rfam:Ictidomys tridecemlineatus contig109277, whole genome shotgun sequence.
GGGGUUGUGGCUCAGUGAUAGAGUGCUUGCCUAGCAUGCAUGAGGCACUGGGUUCAAUCCUCAGCACCA